rnacentral:rRNA from 1 species
AGUGAACGCUGGCGGUAGGCCUAACACAUGCAAGUCGAACGGCAGCACAGUAAGAGCUUGCUCUUACGGGUGGCGAGUGGCGGACGGGUGAGGAAUACAUCGGAAUCUACUUUUUCGUGGGGGAUAACGUAGGGAAACUUACGCUAAUACCGCAUACGACCUACGGGUGAAAGCAGGGGAUCUUCGGACCUUGCGCGAUUGAAUGAGCCGAUGUCGGAUUAGCUAGUUGGCGGGGUAAAGGCCCACCAAGGCGACGAUCCGUAGCUGGUCUGAGAGGAUGAACAGCCACACUGGAACUGAGACACGGUCCAGACUCCUACGGGAGGCAGCAGUGGGGAAUAUUGGACAAUGGGCGCAAGCCUGAUCCAGCCAUACCGCGUGGGUGAAGAAGGCCUUCGGGUUGUAAAGCCCUUUUGUUGGGAAAGAAAAGCAGCAGGUUAAUACCCCGCUGUUCUGACGGUACCCAAAGAAUAAGCACGGGCUAACUUCGUG